GUGGGGUGCCAUUGCCUUCUCCGAGGUCACACAGCUAGCAAGCAACAAAACUAGGAUUUAAACCACAGACAAUGUGGUGUUGUCACUCCUGUUCAAUCAGAAGCCCAACAAGUUUCUAACUCUCCAAUCAGACCUCCAAAGGGAUGGGAUCUGGGAGUUGGCCAAAUACUUUACCUCUCACUGUUUGCCCUGUUCUGUAAAUAAAUUUCAACAGAAGUUACCUUUAAUGCCUCUGGGAGGCACUGAUCUAUCUUAUCUCGAUUGAAAAUAAUUUGGAAAUCUACUCCAUUUCAGUUCCCUUUUAAAACGCUUCCAGUAAUAUAAUCCCACUUUAAAUUUUUUGCUUAUUUUAAACAAUCUUUUUUUCUUACUCCCAGUUAGAGUUUAUAACUCUGUCUUCCCAGGCGGAGAAGAACCAGAGACGCCUAACAUCAUUAAACCGCCUCUAAUUCGGGUUGGAGGACACGUGGCAGGCAGCUGAUGCAUGUUUGCAGAAGGAAUCCAAAUCUUCGUGCCUCCCGCGGAUCAGCGCUCUAUUUGGAACGGGUCGUGGGCCGGGCUUCUAGAAGUCCUCGUAGGCACCUAGCCGGGUAGUGAACCUCGCGUAGGAUGCGGGCAACGCCAGUGCGGGGAACCGCGAGGAAUUUCCAAAAGGAAACCGAACACACCAAAGGUUGGUCCUCACUGUAUGAAGAGAAAACCUCCCCAGCCCCAACAGGGAAGGGAAAGGGGAGAGCUCUCUGGGUUCCCAUGAGAUGAGAAUGUUCCCACUUUCUCUCUGGAUUCUCUGCAGCAGAAAGCAAGAUACCCCAGGGGGUAUUUGUGGAAAGGUUGAAUGAAUGAGAAUCAAGCUGAAGGAAGAGAGAAGCUGAAGGAAAGGAAGAUACCAACAAACCACCAAUGUACAGACCAAAGAUGGAAUUAUCAUAAAUAACUAUCAGGUUUCUAUGACACUUGAAAAUAAAUAGACCUUUUACUCUAUGU